AGCAAGAGUAAAUUAAUUUAAGUGAUUUUGCAGUGUAUUUAUUCUGUGCAGUUAUAAAAUCAAAGAUUAUAUUAUUCUCAACGAGAGAACAAAAACGUUUCGUAACUGCAUAAAUUGGAACGCAACUUUUCUUUGUUGUUCAUAUGUUGGCUCCGAGCAUUGACUUAAUACCUAUAGACGUAGCCAUAUAAUUAUGUUGGAUGUGGGAGUGAGAAGCGUAUUUACGAAUUUUAUGAGGAAGUUGAGACAAAAAGUAUUAUCUUCUGUCUCUUAGGCCGUGGAGGUUUUCUUUGUUUGGCUAACUAUCAGUUAGCCAAACAAUUUGCUGUCAAGUUGUGCGUUGUGCGAAAUUUUCUUGUUUAUUAUUGUUUGUUAGAUUUUUAAGAUUGUUUUAAUGUACUUAUUAGAAAAGGACUCCAUUAGUAAGAUGUAGUGUUAUUUAUAAUGGGAGAAUGCAGUGUUUUAAGCUGUAAAAGCCGCAAGGAAACGGAGGCAGAGGAAGACACUCUUCACUUAGUUUCCCAAGGAUAUACAUUUUAAACAAACAUGGAUAAUGGCUACUGGUCAUCAAAAUUGGCAGCCUAAGAACUUUCUUUUAAAUUUGCUCUAUUCAGUUUGAGAAGGACACAAUCAAUAUGUAAUUUGGAUUCAUAAAACUAAUAAAACUUCUAAAAUAAA